rnacentral:rRNA from 1 species
GAUGAACGCUGGCGGCGUGCUUAACACAUGCAAGUCGAACGAGAAGUGAAGACGGAAACCUUCGGGCGGAAGGCUUUAUUUCGAGUGGCGGACGGGUGAGUAACGCGUGGGUAACCUGCCUCAUACAGGGGGAUAACAGUUGGAAACGACUGUUAAUACCGGAUAAGACCACAGCACCGCAUGGUGCGGGGGUAAAAACUCCGGUGGUAUGAGAUGGACCCGCGUUCGAUUAGCCAGUUGGCGGGGUAACGGCCCACCAAAGCGACGAUCGAUAGCCGAUCUGAGAGGAUGACCGGCCACAUUGGGACUGAGACACGGCCCAAACUCCUACGGGAGGCAGCAGUGGGGAAUAUUGCACAAUGGGGGAAACCCUGAUGCAGCGACGCCGCGUGAGUGAAGAAGUAUUUCGGUAUGUAAAGCUCUAUCAGCAGGGAAGAAAAUGACGGUACCUGAGUAAGAAGCCCCGGCUAACUACGUG